CCCUUAGAUGUCCUGGGCCGCACGCGCGCUACACUGAUGCAUUCGACGAGUUUUACCUUGGCCGAGAGGCCUGGGCAAUCUUUUAAACCUGCAUCGUGAUAGGGAUAGAUUAUUGCAAUUAUUAAUCUUGAACGAGGAAUUCCUAGUAAACGCAAAUCAUCAAUUUGCAUUGAUUACGUCCCUGCCCUUUGUACACACCGCCCGUCGCACCUACCGAUUGAAUGGUCCGGUGAAGCCUCGGGAUUGUGGCCAGUUCACUUUAUUGGGAGUUGGCUGUGAGAACUUGUCUAAACCUUAUCAUUUAGAGGAAGGUGAAGUCGUAACA
rnacentral:rRNA from 1 species